AAAAAGCAUCAACAUUCAAAUUCCAAAUCUAUAUCAAUAGAUUCUUUUAUGAAAUAUAGUUUCAUACGUACUAUAUAUAUAUGGUAUUGCAGAUGUUGAUAUUUUUUUAAUAUAAGUUUGAUCAAACUUAUGAAGUUCAACUUGACACAAAUCUUGUACGCGUAGUAAACAGAAACAGAGGGAGUAUUAACGAUGUAUAUGGGGCACACUCCAUAUAUGUAAAGGGAUGGCCCAUUCCACCGUGUAUGUGGAUUUUAUCUCCGGUUUUGGGAACCUUUGUACAAGAUCCCAUCCGGUUUUUUCGGCCAGGUUUUCACUGUUUUAUCUUGUAUUUUUUACUCUAUUUUACACUGUUCUUUCUGGUGUUUCCUCGAUUUUGUUGCUCUUCUAAAAGAUCAUGAUCACCUUCCAGAAUUGCAUACAUUUUAAAAAAAUCAUGAUUUUGAAAAUACUCAUCUUUUUAAACUAGCAAUUUGUGAAGAAUUUAUUCUUGAUGACAGGGUGAGCCGGCCCGUUAUUUGAUGGCUCUUUGGGCGUGCACACUUUCUACAUCUACCACUCCGUCUAGUGCCCGAAAGGCUGAAUUGGACGUCCCCGAAGCUGCACUUACAAUGUUCGUUUUAGUGGGCAAGCCCAACACUGCAGCCUUGGGAAGCUUUUAUGAACCCAGUUUUGCGAUCCUUCCAACCGUGUUUUUUAUGGUCACACAUAGUUUUCCUUCUUGUUGUUUCUCAGUGUUUUCAUCUAUUAGUUCUCGUUGAUUUCCGCUCUGGUUUUCUUUCCUUUGUUCCUUUUUAUCUCUUUACUCAAUUUAUUUUAGUUUAUGUUUAUUCGUUCAAAUACAUCACCAUAUUUUAUAAAUACAUGUUAAAAAAAUUCAUAUAGUUUUCCUUCUUGUUAUUUCUUAGUGUUUUCGUCUAUUAGUUCUCAAAUACAUGCACAUAGUCUUCUUUACUCAAUUUUGUUUUCAUUUAUGUUUAUUCUUUCAAAUACAUGACCAUAUUUUAUAAAUACACGUUAAAAAAAUUCAUAUACUAGUUCAACACUUCUAAAUACAUGUUCAUCAUUUACCCGGA
rnacentral:lncRNA from 1 species